AUUGAACGCUGGCGGCAGGCCUAACACAUGCAAGUCGAGCGGAUGAAGGGAGCUUGCUCCUGGAUUCAGCGGCGGACGGGUGAGUAAUGCCUAGGAAUCUGCCUGGUAGUGGGGGAUAACGUCCGGAAACGGGCGCUAAUACCGCAUACGUCCUGAGGGAGAAAGUGGGGGAUCUUCGGACCUCAUGCUAUCAGAUGAGCCUAGGUCGGAUUAGCUAGUUGGUGGGGUAAAGGCCUACCAAGGCGACGAUCCGUAACUGGUCUGAGAGGAUGAUCAGUCACACUGGAACUGAGACACGGUCCAGACUCCUACGGGAGGCAGCAGUGGGGAAUAUUGGACAAUGGGCGAAAGCCUGAUCCAGCCAUGCCGCGUGUGUGAAGAAGGUCUUCGGAUUGUAAAGCACUUUAAGUUGGGAGGAAGGGCAGUAAGUUAAUACCUUGCUGUUUUGACGUUACCAACAGAAUAAGCACCGGCCAACUUCGUG
rnacentral:rRNA from 1 species